GUACACUCCUGCGGGAGGCAGCAGUGGGGAAUAUUGGACAAUGGGCGCAAGCCUGAUCCAGCCAUGCCGCGUGAGUGAUGAAGGCCCUAGGGUUGUAAAGCUCUUUCACCGGAGAAGAUAAUGACAGUAUCCGGAGAAGAAGCCCCGGCUAACUUCGUGCCAGCAGCCGCGGUAAUACGAAGGGGGCUAGCGUUGUUCGGAAUUACUGGGCGUAAAGCGCACGUAGGCGGAUCGAUCAGUCAGGGGUGAAAUCCCAGGGCUCAACCCUGGAACUGCCUUUGAUACUGUCGAUCUGGAGUAUGGAAGAGGUGAGUGGAAUUCCGAGUGUAGAGGUGAAAUUCGUAGAUAUUCGGAGGAACACCAGUGGCGAAGGCGGCUCACUGGUCCAUUACUGACGCUGAGGUGCGAAAGCGUGGGGAGCAAACAGGAUUAGAUACCCCGGUAGUCCCAUGAU
rnacentral:rRNA from 1 species